UGCACAUCACACUGAUGCUGGGGGGGAGAGAGGAGGAGGACAGACAGAGGGGAGCCAUUGAGGAGGACAGCAGAGAUUCUGGAAGUUUCUCUCCGGAAGAGAAUAGAGAUGCUCUUAGCAGUGGACUGUCAAUUGAAGAGGGGGAACUGGAGGAGGAGAGGAUGGAAUGGGAGAAGAGGGAAGAGAGGCGCAGUCUGGAGACAGACGGGACAGCAGCUCCACAGGAUCCCUGAGCCCCAGAGAGGACAACGUGUCUUCUCAUUCUCCUCCUCUUCCUCCUCCUCCUCCUCAUCCUUUCCUCCAAUAGCCCUAGCCCCACCCCUCUGCGACCUCUAGAGGUGAUAGCAUCCACUUGGGUGAGAGGUCAUAUGUCAGGGGUCAGCAGCAGCAGUGGUAGCUUCAAGGCUCUGCUCCUGAGGAAGGGAAGUCGCUGCGACUCUGGAGCUCGCAUGUCUGCAGCUGAGAGACUCCGCAGUACCGCCCCAAAACACCAGAGUCCGCCACCACAUAGCCAGAGCCAAUCAGACACACACCUGCAGUUGGGAGUGAAGUCACACACCCACACACCUCAUCCCUCUCCACACACGCACACAGUCCAAGUCCAGCUCCCAUCUCUAGAAGUACCCCAGACUCAGUACAGACAGAGACACAGGAGGAAGGAAGAGUGGGCAAUCACUGAGCGCCUGUUCCCUCUCCCCUUCUCAUCCUCCCCAUCCUCCCCCUCUCUCUGGGCGUGGCGACCCCCCCCCCCCCCCCCCCGCUCCCCCACUCCCCCUUGCUCAGCCAGCCGACGUUUUGCUGCCUGCACCCGACUACCGAGCAGCUCAAUGACUGCCAUCCAGGAACAAGAGGGGGAGGGGGACGGCGAAUCACUGGAGAGUGAGGGAUUGUCCGAGACCAUCAAAUUGGACCACGAUUCACACAAGACUUUUGGAUUGGUCAAGCUUUCUGACGGAUAGACUGAGGCUACCGAUGGCAGCCUUGAUUGGCAGGAGAGCAGGACUAUGGAGAGACACGAGGCCCUGUUCUCCCUCCCCAUUUCUCUCUCCCUGAGAGGACAACGGAUAGAGCACCAGACAGGGGACUCACUGUCCUGCUCAUACCCAGGACAGAGGCUCCCGUCUGGGGCCAAGGGACUUUAUGUGUAUCCUGCACAUGGGGGAAACUGAUUGGAGUCAACUGAAACAUACUGUUCUCCAGACUGGCUUUUGUUAUAGGAUGCUUGUCUCUGUUAAUAGAUUACAGGACAGUGUAAAUGUUGUUUUCUGAUGUGUUGCUUCAGUCCUCUGUCUAGUUUUAGUAUGUAGCGCUAUACAGUUUGAUAUUCAUGUUAAACUGUAUAUUUAAAAUGUAUUCUGUGGUUUCAGUUACCAAAGACAACGUGUCACUCCCAGUGAAUCGGCAGCAGGGGGACAUGUCUGAGAAUGUAUCCUUGAUUGUGAUUGGCCUAUUGUUAUCAUGAUUGUGAUUGGCCUAUUGUUAUCAUGAUUGUGAUUGGUCUAUUGUUAUCAUGAUUAUGAUUGGCCUAUUGUUAUCAUGAUUAUGAUUGGCCUAUUGUUAUCAUGAUUGUGAUUGGCCUAUUGUUAUCAUGAUUGUGAUUGGCCUAUUGUUAUCAUGAUUGUGAUUGGCCUAUUGUUAUCACGAUUAUGAUUGGCCUAUUGUUAUCAUGAUUGUGAUUGGCCUAUUGUUAUCAUGAUUGUGAUUGGCCUAUUGUUAUCAUGAUUGUGAUUGGCCU